AAAGGGGACACGAUUUUGAUGAGUUUCUUUUAGAAAACAAUUGACAAUCCCAGCAUUCUCUGUUCCAUCAGUCUGUCCUGAGCCUUUUUUUGUUUUUUGGGUCACACUUUCACUCUAUCCUCUCUUCUAAAUUUUCAGUUUUGUAGUUCAAGGCAUGCGUGUCGCUCAGAAAAUGUUAACAAAAGCUUGGCCCCCGGCCAGAACACUGAAAGUGAAGUUGUGUGGCCCUCCGCACAGGGCCAUUCAUCCACCGAA